CACGGGAUGGCUCUUCACACGUGCGCGUCUGUAGAAAGAAGCUGAGACUUCCGGGCGCUCCCUCUCCUUUCAUAGGAUGAGGCAAUUUUCUCUCUGCUUAAAACCAGGGACGAAAAUGGCUUCUAAUUGACUCUACCCUUCUUCUUCGAAGCCGUAGUUUCCUAUUGCUAAAACAUGGGCUCCAAAAUUCUCCCUCAGGCGCUAGUUGUGAUCUCUAGAAACCCCACUCAUUGCCCUUUUCCUAAGAAAUUAAGGUUUUCUUCAACAUUACAUCGUUGUUCCUCUCUCUGUAUUUCUACUUCUCCGGUUUCGUCAAGUUAAGCUGGUCCAAAUUUGGAAGCAAUCAUAUCCGCAUUUGCGAGACGGAGGUUCUUUGCGAGAGCGGAAUCGGAGAACUCUGAAGGCGGCGAAGUAGCGGAAGAAAGUGAAAAUGGUGGAGGAGUAGUGAAGGAAAUAGAAGAACAAGAAGAGAAGGAAGGAAAAGUAGUAGUGUGGAAAGUGAUGAGGUGAAGGCCGAAGUAAAAGUGAAAGAACCAAGAAAGCCAAUAAUCGCGCUUGAGGAGAUAAUGGCGGUACUUAUAUGAUUCUGCUUAUUAUUUUCUUCUCUUAUGUGUGUGUGAGCUUGAAUUUUUGCCCAGGAUGAUAUGUGUGAUAUUGAAUAAGAGAGGAGUUGAGGCAUCAGAGAAGGAAAGACCGAUUCCAGAUAUCAGGACUGGGAAUGUAGUGGAGAUUAAAUUGGAAGUUCCGGAAAAUAGGCGCGUCAAGGCAAAAUGCUGGUACACACACUACAAUUAGAGUUCGGAGGAUUAUCGCUGGCAUAGGGGUUGAGAUUGUAUUCCCUCUCUACUCACCAAAUAUCAAGGAAAUAAAAGUAGUCAAACAUAGGAAGGUCAGGAGGGCAAGGUUGUAUUAUCUGAGAGAAAAGCUUCCCAGGCUGUCCACCUUCAAAUGAAAAACAUGGAGAGAGUUGGUCUUCACUUCUUUUCCUCUCCAAAAUAGCAUUCUCACUGCAGAGAUAUUGUAAGAACUGAAUUUCCACGUGUUCAUUCUUUUUGUUUUAUGGAAAUUUUGUAUGCAUAGAUGUGUUGGAUCUUCUUUACGAAAAAAAAUGAGACCAUGUAAUGUCUCAAUUUUUGGACUGUUUAGUCCUGGCCAUCAAAAUAUGCGAUUUCGGCAGUUUAUUCUUUUUCCAAGAACCAUUCACCCGAGCAGGAGAUUUCAUCAACUAUUAUAAUCUUCUCUCCUACAUGCCUUUUUGUUAUGAUUGGACUUCUUUUCCAUCCAGAGUACGCGAGCAUCAGCCUGCAUGUACACUUGUUUAAUUGUGUUUUUGUGUUGAGAGAGGGAGGGAGAGGAGAGGAUGUGGAUGCUAAGCUGCCUAUAUGUGUAGCAAGGCUAUUCAAGUUGUGACAUGAACUUGUGAUCUAUCUCAUUCUCAUUCUUAUAUAAUGCUCUUUAGAAAUAUACAACAAUGUAUUAUAUAUAUUGCUGUCAUACGUCAAUUGAAGUGACGAGAUUUUUAAUUUAUUGGAGCAGGUGCUACUUUUAUUUUUGUUGCCUUAUCGGUGGAAGUUAUUUGAGGCCCCUCAAAGGUGGAUAGAAAGUUAAUCAUUCUCAUUUAUAGGAUGCUGUCUAUUGCCAUUUGAGCACAGCAAAUGUCCUAAGGCUUACAUGUUGAAUAGGCAUCAGAUAUUUGUUUUUAAUAGGUAUGUCAAGUCUAUUGCCCAUCAAAAUGCUUGUAAAAUGAAAACAGAAAAACAGCACUGUGCUACAUCAGUUCUUUGCUGUUGUGCUUGAUCGUGAUGCCAGCUCAAAUUCCCCUUUAAUUAUGUCAUUUAAGCUUAUUAGUUUUGAAGACUUGGCAUACUUGAUUCUGAAGACUUGUUACUUGAAGCAUGAGUUAGGUGUCUAUUAGAAGAUAUCAGCUACUCUUAAAUAAAGAAAGAAAAAAAAUGUAUUUGUAAGCAUGUGUUGUAAUUUCUUCCGUAUCUUCCUGUUGUGUUUUUUCACAUUAUACAGAUUUGUUUGUUUGGUAAACUGUAACGUGUUGUUAUAAAAUAGAAACAAAAAGUUGC
rnacentral:misc_RNA from 1 species